CUCGAAUCCUAGAUAAAAUGAGCGAAGUCUCGAUGCGCUUGGCAAGAUUAUAUUACGAUACACUUCGUUUCACAGAUGGUCUACUUUUGAGAGCGGUUGUGCAACCUUUAAUGGAUGGAUUGCAUGCCACCAACAAUUGGUGCUUUCUUUUGAUUCGCAUUCUUCAAAGAAUAAUUUCUCAUGAUGUUCGCUUCGUGGACCUUUAACAUUCAUUUCAUUGCACGAAAAUAGAUGUUUGCUUACUAUGAAGAAACUCGAAACAAGAUAAAGGUAAACAGGUUCAUCAAAUUCAAAGAGAUUGUUAUAAUUCAGAAAACGAUACUUAACGCGGGUGAAACUGUCUGAAGCGUUCAUUCUUCGACAGGCCAUUGUUCUAUUUAUCGGUAUACAAGUACGAUCUUGCAAUUUCCUGUGAGCGAAUCUCGUCUCAUGAUUGUUUUUCUAC